rnacentral:rRNA from 1 species
AUUGAACGCUGGCGGCAGGCCUAACACAUGCAAGUCGAGCGGAGCGGCCGACGGGUGAGUAAUUCCUAGGAAUCUGCCUGGCAGUGGGGGAUAACGUCCGGUAACGGGCGCUAAUACUGUAUACUAUCAGAUGAGCCUAGGUCGGAUUGGCUAGUUGGUGGGGUAAAGGCUUACCAAGGCGAAGAUCCGUAACUGGUCUGAGAGGAUGAUCAGUCACACUGGAACUGAGACACGGCCCAGAUUCCUACGGGAGGCAGCAGUGGGGAAUUGUGGGCAAUGGGCGCAAGCCUGAUCCAGCCAUGCCGCGUGUGUGAAGAAGGUCUUCGGAUUGUAAAGCACUUUAAGUUGGGAGGCGUUACCAACAGAAAAAGCACCGGCUAACUACGUGCCAGCCGCCGCGGUAAUAC